CUAUACAUAUGGAAAACAGAGCAAAGGAGAGAGAGACGCAAAAAACAGAGCCCCCGAUUCCCCUCAUCUCUCCCAGAUCGCCGCCACCUCUCCCUCCUCCGAUCCACAUCGCCGCCGGCCCUUCCCUUCCCCUCAUCCCACCGCGCAGCUCCGGCGGCUGCUGGAUCCAUCGCAUCCCCCACCCACCCAUCCCUCUCGCGUCCGAUCUCUAGCUCUCUUCACGCGCCUCCUCGCCAUCUGCGACGGCUAAUUCAGGCGACGUCCGGCGAAUCCCGCCAUCACGAAGCAUAGCCCGAGGUCCCCAUCGAAACGCGGCGCCGUCCCAUGCGACUAGAUCCGCUGCUCACGGCUACCCCUGCCCUGGCAAGGGUUUCGGCCGUCGGCUCCGGCGCCGGUGGCCAGGUCGUCCUCCUCUGGUACUCCUCUCUUCCGACGUGCAGGGAGGAACAGGCUGCGUAUGAACUCCAUCGUGACGCUACUGACGGUGAUAUCAAUGGACGAGAUGUGCCUCGGCGUCGACGAGCAUGCACUGAGGCGGGAAGUGGAAAAGGAAUACAUCGCCAAGCGAACUCAAUGGUACGAUGCUGGAGGUGGAAGACGUGGCCAACAUGGCGCUGUAUGUCGAGUCGGACGAGGCUAGGUAGCUCUCAAACUGCGCAGAGUCAAGAUUGAUGCUAUGGUACCAUUAAUGAUUCCAGCUGAAGAUAUUUGCAACCUGAAGUGUUACACAAGUUUACUAUUGUGCCAAUGUGUCAUCAUGUGUUUCCAUGAUUUUUGCAAACCUUUAAUAUAUCCCCGGGUUCCUUUUCUUCUAUGCUAGAAUUGGUUUGGAAAAACUGUAUGCAACUAUGGCCAUGAAAUUGUAUUAAGAAUUAUGCAAGGAGUGAGUCAUCAUUUCUUGAAUGGGUUUGCAGUUCUAGCUCUUUGUAUACCACACAAUAUUGUGUCAUGUCUUGAUAUUAUUAUAACUUUAAUAUGGUCCAAACACACACAACUUCCUACAGAAAACUUACUAUGAAUUUUCUUUUGGCAACGUUUAUGAAACACAAAUGAAGUAAGAUGCCAGAAAUCAAUUGAAGAAAUUGAUGGAAAUUAGUAGAAAAUUAUCUUUCUAACAUUUCAGUAUUAGCAAACUGAUUCUAAUGAGAAUAGUAGAUUUGUAUACGCCAUACAGUAGGGUGUGGAUUCAUUCCUUAAGGCUGGCUUAUAAUUAUGUUCUAAUUAUAGUUUCUGUGUCAGCCCAUUCUCAUUCAUUGUAUACUUUUAAUGAUAACAGAGCGGCUUCUUUUAUAAAUUCUUAGCUUCUUUUAUAGAUUCUUAGUUACUCAUGUAUGCAGGUCAGCAUCAAGGCUAUGAAGCGAAAGAUCAGACAAAGGUUUUUGCCAUGUUUGUCCUUCAGCUUAGUAACUGUACGUCUAGUUCUUUCCCCUAUUGUAGUCCUUUUAUUUGCACCGUACUUCUUGAAAGAUGAUAACUUGCAAUCAUUAUUGUAGAGUGGCCGUGCUUCUAUUUAUAUUUCUGAAAUAAACUGAAAUUUCAUUUGCAUCUCUAUAACUUCAUUUUGUUAAUAAAAAGGUUUGAUUAAUAAGCAGUGCAAUUACAUGGCUUUAUCCUUAUUUCCCAUUGUAUCAUGUCUCCACUUCUAUCUAACAGGGAUCGUAGCUCUUGCUAUAGUUGUAAGUUGUGAUCUUAAAUGUAUUUUUUUUUGAUAUCGUGAUCCUAAAUGUAAACUUGAUGGUGCUGAAAUUACAAAUGAAUUCUCGGCAGUGCAUGUUGAUAUGGCACUUGUGAAAACUGAAGAUUUGGUACGGAGUCGUAAAACGUGUAAUAUUCUCGGUAAUGCAGAAAAACAAAGAUUGCAUUGCCUUCAACCUUUAUUCAAAAGAUAUAUGGCUGAUUAUAUGGUUGCGUGGCAAGAAUACUGCAAUGAUGAUGAUGGUGUUCUACUGUUCUGGUUCAUGAUGAUGAUGAUAAUGACGACAGAUGCUUUUAGUUGUAGCUAAGUUGUAGGGAUGUUGUUCCUGUUGGAUGAUGUUCGUGUUCCUCAGUUAAGUUUUUGUUAAGUUGUAGGGAUGUUGAUGGAUGCUUUCAGUUUAAGUUUUAAUGUCAAGAAAAUAUUUAGAUUAUGUAUCACAAUUGGAUGAAGUUCCUCAUGUAAUAUCUACUAUUGUAAUCCAGCAGUUCUAUCCAAUAUAUGAUUUCGGAUUU